AAUAGGUUGCCUGAUUAAAGGAUUAUUUUGAUAGAAUAAAUUAUACAAUAAUAUAUUGUAUCUAUUA
rnacentral:tRNA from 1 species